UCUGUAAAUUUAAAUAUUUUAGUAUUUGUCAUAUUAUUCAUAUUAGUAUUUUGAAACCCGGAACAUCUUUCAUGUAUCUGUAAUUUAAAUGAAGGAAAAACGGAACCGGUUGGAGAAAGUUAUAUAACUGAUUCUACAAACUCAGUUUAUAUUCAACGGAGCAGAUUUUGCAGCCAACAUAUAAUCUAGCCUACAAUGGGACCUUUCAACUAAGUUUAAUUAAGUCUGAGUUUGAGCAGGUGGACCACAACUAUGUGAUAAUUAUCAUUUAAAUGGCUAUGAGAAGAAAAUACCGGCAAUAUCUUCUGCGCAAAGAAUAACCGAUACGGUCGAAUUGAAGAGCGAAACGAUACUGCGCCUGGUUUAAACGACCGGCAGCAACUGACCCUACUGAAACAUAAUAACUUUCGAAUGCGAAGAGAAUAAUUGAAGUCUAAAAAAAAAGUGAAUCACGAGAGCAAGAAGCGGAUGCUGAGAUUAUUUGUAGCGCUUAAUAUAUCAUGAAAUAAAGCGUGGUACUCAUCCUGUAAAUACCAUUUAAGUUGAUGACUCGGAUUAUUCAUUUAUUACGCUUUGCGUUUACUUGUUGGUAACAGUAUUUUAGCCAAUAAUUAUAAUGUUUAAAAAUUAUGUUUAAAGUGAUUAUUUAUUAGUAAAAUUGUCUUGAUUGUUAUAAAAUUGAACUUAGUUUGAUAUACUAUUAAAUUCUUCAUUUCAGCAAGUUACGUUUCCGUAGUGUAGUGGUUAUCACGUGUGCUUCACACGCACAAGGUCCCCGGUUCGAUCCCGGGCGGAAACAGAUUUUUAUCUUUUAAUGUAAUUUUUUAUUUUUUAAAAUUAUAAAAUAAUUUUUAAAAUA